UACAGAGGGUGCAAGCGUUAUUCGGAAUCACUGGGCGUAAAGAGCUCGUAGGCUGUCAAUUAAGUCAUAUGUGAAAUCCCUGGGCUCAAUCCAGGAAGUGCAUCUGAUACUGAUUGACUGGAGUGCAGGAGAGGAAAGCGGAAUUCCAGGUGUAGAGGUGAAAUUCGUAGAUAUCUGGAGGAACAACAGAAGCGAAGGCGGCUUUCUGGACUGUCACUGACGCUGAGGAGCGAAAGCGUGGGGAGCAAACAGG
rnacentral:rRNA from 1 species